CUCAGCCAGCAUCCACAGCCUGCUGGUCGGGGACAUGGUUCAGGAUCUGGAUCUCAGCUACGAGCGCACAGCUGCUCUUUUCUGCUCCGCGCUGCACGCGCUCAUGAAGGCACUGGCGAGGUGGUUUCCUUCCACUUGUAGCAGGACCAGU